AGGCUGAAAUUCGCCUUCAUGAAGCCGGAAUUGCUAGUAAUGGCAGGUCAGCAUACUGCCGUGAAUACGUUCCCGGGCCUUGUACACACCGCCCGUCACACCAUGAGAGUUGGGAAUACCCGAAGCCUGUGAGCUAACUUUUAAGAGGCAGCAGUCGAAGGUAGAAUCAAUGAUUGGGGUGAAGUCGUAACAAGGUAAC
rnacentral:rRNA from 1 species